UAAGGAAUAUUGGUCAAUGGGGGGAACUCUGAACCAGCCAUGCCGCGUGCAGGAAGACAGCCCUCUGGGUCGUAAACUGCUUUUAUUCGGGAAUAAACCUAUCUACGUGUAGAUAGCUGAAUGUACCGAAGGAAUAAGGAUCGGCUAACUCCGUGCCAGCAGCCGCGGUAAUACGGAGGAUCCAAGCGUUAUCCGGAUUUAUUGGGUUUAAAGGGUGCGUAGGCGGCUUAUUAAGUCAGGGGUGAAAGACGGUGGCUCAACCAUCGCAGUGCCCUUGAUACUGAUGAGCUUGAAUACACUAGAGGUAGGCGGAAUGUGACAAGUAGCGGUGAAAUGCAUAGAUAUGUCACAGAACACCGAUUGCGAAGGCAGCUUACUAUGGUGUGAUUGACGCUGAGGCACGAAAGCGUGGGAAUCAAACA
rnacentral:rRNA from 1 species